CUAUUGUAUAAAAGGAGAAAUGGUUAGCACUCCAUGACAAGAAUGGAAGAGGUCCUUGUGGUCUUCACAACACAUAUAUGGUUAAGACAGUGCCACCUACUUUGUGGCAUCUAUAACCAUGUUUUUAU